rnacentral:rRNA from 1 species
UUUUACGGAGAGUUUGAUCCUGGCUCAGGAUGAACGCUGGCGGCGUGCUUAACACAUGCAAGUCGAACGGUGAAGCCAAGCUUGCUUGGUGGAUCAGUGGCGAACGGGUGAGUAACACGUGAGCAACCUGCCCUGGACUCUGGGAUAAGCGCUGGAAACGGUGUCUAAUACUGGAUAUGAGGCGUGAUCGCAUGGUCAUGUUUGGAAAGAUUUUUCGGUCUGGGAUGGGCUCGCGGCCUAUCAGCUUGUUGGUGAGGUAAUGGCUCACCAAGGCGUCGACGGGUAGCCGGCCUGAGAGGGUGACCGGCCACACUGGGACUGAGACACGGCCCAGACUCCUACGGGAGGCAGCA